UACACUCCUACGGGAGGCAGCAGUGGGGAAUAUUGCACAAUGGGCGCAAGCCUGAUGCAGCCAUGCCGCGUGUAUGAAGAAGGCCUUCGGGUUGUAAAGUACUUUCAGCGGGGAGGAAGGCGAUAAGGUUAAUAACCUUGUUGAUUGACGUUACCCGCAGAAGAAGCACCGGCUAACUCCGUGCCAGCAGCCGCGGUAAUACGGAGGGUGCAAGCGUUAAUCGGAAUUACUGGGCGUAAAGCGCACGCAGGCGGUCUGUCAAGUCGGAUGUGAAAUCCCCGGGCUCAACCUGGGAACUGCAUUCGAAACUGGCAGGCUAGAGUCUUGUAGAGGGGGGUAGAAUUCCAGGUGUAGCGGUGAAAUGCGUAGAGAUCUGGAGGAAUACCGGUGGCGAAGGCGGCCCCCUGGACAAAGACUGACGCUCAGGUGCGAAAGCGUGGGGAGCAAACAGGAUUAGAAACCCCGGUAGUCCCA
rnacentral:rRNA from 1 species